GGAUUGUGGCUUAGCGGUAGAGCGCUCGCCUAGCACGUGCAAGGCCCUGGGUUUGAUCCUCAGCACCCCA
rnacentral:tRNA from 1 species